GGGAGGAGCCCAAACCGGGUUGGUCACGGCCAAUCCGGGGUUGUAGGGCCGCGACAUCUGAUUGAAUCGAGGUAGCUGAACUGCUUGGGAAAGCAGGCCAUAGACGGUGAGAGCCCGGUAAGCGACACUUCUGAUUCACGGUAGCGGUACCCUGAGUAGGGCGGGGCCGGAGAAACCCCGUCUGAAGCGAGCGGCACCAUCCGCUAAGGCUACAUACUCCUGAGACACCGAUAGUGAACUAGUACCGUGAGGGAAAGGUGAAAAGAACCGGGAAUACCGGAGUGAAAAGAACCUGAAACCGUGUGCUUACAAGCAGUCAGAGGGCUUUUGUGGCCUGAUGGCGUGCCUUUUGCAUAAUGAGCCUACGAGUUACUCCUCCCCGGCAAGGUUAAGCGCUUGAAGGCGCGGAGCCGCAGCGAAAGCGAGUCUGAACAGGGCGCGCAGUCGGGGGGGGUAGACGCGAAACUUUGUGAGCUACCCUUGAGCAGGUUGAAGGUGCGGUAACACGCACUGGAGGACCGAACCGGUGCCUGUUGAAAAAGUCUCGGAUGACUUGUGGCUAGGGGUGAAAGGCCAAUCAAACUGAGAAAUAGCUCGUACUCCCCGAAAUGUAUUGAGGUACAGCGUCGGCGUCGAGGUCAGUGGAGGUAGAGCUACCGAUAGGACUAGGGGGUGUCAGAGCCUACCGAAUCCUGACGAACUCCGAAUGCCACUGGCUAUAGCCGGCAGUGAGGCCUGGGGUGCUA
rnacentral:rRNA from 1 species